CCCCAACAGCUCCCAACAUGACUGCGUUGUUUAAGUAGCCGAUUGCUCUCUUGUAUGACUGUCAAAUAUUUCAGGCAAGUGAUAUCUAGUUCUUCUAUAAGUGGGUGCAUGCUGAAUUGUUAAGGUUUAUAAUUAUUAACUGAAUCAUUGCUUUGUUGUUCGAUAGGCAGUCUAGAUUUUGGAAUGGUUAUUUACAGAACGAAGGCAGGAGGGAAGCGGUUUAAAUACAGCGCAGGGUAAAUAAGUUGAAAAGUACCUAAUUUUUGUGGAUUUAAGUACAAUAAGCUUUCAACUAAACUCACUGCAUUUUAAUUCCUUCAGUCUAUGUAUGUUAUGGGCAGAAAAUAGCUUCUCUGUUGGAAUGGUGCGAUCCAAUUCUCAGUGCACAGAAAGACAUUUUUGGAACCUGCUUUCUAGAAAGUGACCUAUGUGGGCAAUCCCUGCUUCAGCACCCCCUUCAGCUCCAGUAAUUUGAUUGCCCAGAAUAUUCUCAUUAUAAUUCACUGGCACAUGGGAACUGCACAAAUAGCAGUGAGUCAGCGUGCUGGCUAUUGGGGAUCCACAAGCAGGAUACUCAGGUGCUCAGGAUAUUUUCUUUGGAAGGAUCCCUUCUAAAGAAUGUCUUGUCUUUGCAAGAGACAAUGAGGAAUGGGAAGUCACUCUGGGUGUGACUAUUUAUCCCUCUUCUUUCAUAUUCAUUGCUCAAUUCCUUCAAAAACCUAAGUCCUGGAGCAAAGAGGCAUUUAGGGAGUCAGCUAGAAGGACUCUCCAGAGGCUGAUAAAAUUUCUCCCAGUAGCCUCUGCUAUCUAUUCAUCAGAUCCCAAAGCUGUCAGAGAAAAUCUGGUAUUUUCUCCUGCUAACUGUUGCAUAGACUGGCAAUCAGGCUUACCACCAAGUUUUCCUUUAUUAUCAAAAUGAUAUUUCUCCUAGAUAACUUAGUGCUCUUUUCUCUGAUUUAGGACUCAACAAUACCAACCUCACCAACAUCAGUAGGGCUACCUCUAUCAUCAGUAUCAUCACCACCACCCUCAGUAACAUUCCCAACAAAAACUACCAUCGUGGCUCCUAACCUGCACCACUUCCACAGCCACUGCCAUCAUCGCUACUUCCUUUAAUUCAGCAGUUAUUUACUGAGCAGUUAUUUACUCAGUUAUGCACUGAAGAUAACCAAGCACUGUGCUAGUGAAACCAGCCCAAUUGCUCCGUAGAAAUAAUGUGUAUGGGUUUUUUGAAUAAAUAUAGAAAUUGACUCUCCUGAUCUUAAAAUUUGAAGCUUCUAUUUGCCCCAUCUGAAAUCUCUUCUCAGGAAACUGACCCUCAGGCAAUGGACUGAAACUCACCAGAUCACCACAUCCAGAUAAUGAGAGCUCACACCCCUCAUUCAUCAUGACUGCUUCCUUAUCACUCCCGAACUCCUUCCUGCUUGUAGCUACGUUCCUUCUCUGCUAUAUAAACCCCCAAUUUUAGUCAGGCAGGUUUGAGACUCAUCUCCUGUCUCCUUCGCUGCAGCACCCAGAUAAAGCCUUCUUACCUGGCACCUCUCAUUGUCUCAGGGCCUAGCUCUCCAAGCAGCAAGCAACAGGACCAAGACCAAACCCCUGGCAUUUUGGUAACAUUAGGCCCUAAGAAUAUCAAGAAGAUAAUACCAGGAUUUUUGCCUUGAAGGACAAUACUAUAGGAACUUAGAAACGUAUAUAAAUGGCAAUUAUAAAAAUGUGGAGAGGUAUAUGCCAUAGGAGGUAUAUAAAUAAGUGAUCCGCCCACCUCAGCCUCCCAAAGUGCUGGGAUUACAGGCAUGAGCCACCUCGCCUGGCCACAUUUCCACUCUGAUCAUCUUCCUCUUCCUCUCUCUUUCUUUCUUUUUCUUUUCUUCUUCUCCUCCUUUUCCUCCUCCUCCUUCAUUGGGCUGACUGUGUCUAAUGUUAAAAUAAAUGGAUAAUGUAACCUUGGCCUUCUUUCAAAUAUGACAAAGUUGUUCUUUAUUUUAAUAUGUAAAACUUUAUAAUCAGUUGCAAAUUACAAACACCAGACAGAAUUUGUCUAAACAGAAAAACUGAGUACGCUUAAUAAUCCCCUAUUUUUUUUUUUUUUUUCAGGGAUCAGGGGGAAUGUGAGAAAAAAACGGGGGGGGGGGGAGAUAGAAAUAAUCUUCAUUGCAAAAUACAAUUUUAAAAGUUUUAUCAUGAAGAAUAAGCAAUGCUAAUUUUCUUUUACGUUUUAAGAAAUGGGCUUUUAGAAGCAGGGUCAUUUGAAGGCAGACAGUUUCUCUGUUCGGGGAACAUUCAUACUUGCUCCUGGACUUCUAACGUGAUAUCAUCAUUUCCUCAUAUUACCACCAUUGCAAUAAUGUUCUUUUGCCCACACCUUGCCAACUGUACACAUUCAACUAUAAUAAGAUACAUAAAAGGAUCAUACGCUUGAAAUAUUCCUUAAACCUGUCUAGCACCAUCAAACUGCAAUGAUAGAUUCUUGUCCAAAAGUCUUUUAAAUUCAGGUAGAAGAGAGAGGUAAGAUUAUCUUAUGAUUUUUCUGGUGAACCUAGCCCUACUUUGAUAAAGAGUGUUCUAGUUAUCUAUUGCUAUAUUCAAAUUAUUUUUAAAACUCAGUGACUUAAAAAGUAACCAUUUCAAGAUAUCUCUAUUGUGUGCAUAAACAUUUUAAGAUGGAUCUAGAAUUCAUUCCUUUUUCCUUUUCACCUUAACUACAGUGGCCACAGAUGCUCUACUGUGUGCCUCUAGAAUUUAGGCAGAGCUUGGCUGCUUUCUUCUUGUGUUCCAAGGAACAUCAAGCAAGGUAACUCGGUGGUACUCAGCUUGCAUUCAGUGGUACUCAGCUGGCAGGUGGGCUGAUCUGAGGGUUCCAAGGUGGCUUCACUCACACAUCUGAUGCCUUUUUCAUAAUGGAUAGCACAGCUGAAGGCUGGUCAAGCAUUUAUUUCAUCUUGUAUCUACUCUGCAUGUCUGGCGUGGACUUUUUGACAGCAUGAAUUCCAGUGGCUGGGAUUCGAAAGUGUUCCAAGAAAAAUCAUUUCAUUCCAAGAAACCCAGAACAAAGAGAACAUAUAUUCUAAGAAACCCAGGAAGAAGCUUUAAGGCUUCUGGUAACCUAGUCUUGGAAAUCCCAGAAUGUCACUUCGGCUGCAUUCUGUUGAUCAAUUAUGUCCCCAAGACCAACCCGGGUUUAAAAAAAAAAGGUUCAGACUCUUUUUUUGGGAGGUUACGUGUGGUAAUUUAAUACAUUUAUAUAAUUUGUAAAGAUCAAAUCAGUAUACUUAGGAUGUCCAUCACCUUAAAUAUGUGUGCUUUCUUUGUGCUAGAUAUACAGACUGCCCCUCUUGAUGAAAGAAAUAGCAAGGGAUCUGUGGCCAUCUUUAAUAUAUUAUAGAAGGAAUAGCAAGAACAAAGUUGAGAAAUGCAGAAAAAAAUAUGCAUUCUUGUCAGAGAACUGAGUCAUAAAGUUGGGAUGGAUUAUCAAGUUCAUGGGAGUUAAAUCUAGAAAAGAAAAGAAGAGGCAUAGGAGACAAGAUUGAGAACUCUGUACUUAAAGAAGUGGGAAAUGGGAGAACUGAUAAAAGGAUAUGAGUGAUCAGAGAAGAUGUGGGUAUUGGUGAGGGGGUUGCUGAAUGGUGGGGAUGGGGAAUGGGUUGGAGGUAGGAUACACUGUAAGUAAGUAGAAAAGCCCACUGAAGCAGAGGCAACUGGAAAAGUCUUGGGGAGAGUUUGCCCAGGUCCAAACCAUAUGUUGCUGAGGUAAGAAAGGAACAGAUAGAGAAUUUCCAAGAUGUAUAUAUCAUUAUCAUCUAUAGUGUUGUUGUUCAUUAUGAGACAGUCUCCUAGUGGCAUGCAGAGUGUAGGAGGAUAGGUGGUAAAUGAAUGAAACUGACUUACAAUGGCUUGCAAAUAUUAAUAACAGGGAAUGUAUUGGCUCAUGUAAAUUAAAAGUCCAAUGUUGCAUCCAACUUUAAACAUUUGAUUCAGUUGAAUAAUGCCACUAGGAUUAUCUCUUGUCUCUGACUUCUCUGUGUGGUGACAUUAUUCCUUAGCUAUUUCUUCUAAUGUUGACAAAAUAUCUGAAAUAAGUAUAAACCUCACAUCUUCACACCAUCAAAUCCUGUGUAAAAGAGUAUUCUUCUCUCUCUUAGAAACUCUAGCAGAUGAUUCUUUGUGUUUAAUUGGCUAAGAUUGGGUUUUAGAAUUCAGUUCAGUGUAACUUUUCUCUCCCAUCAGUUGCUCUAUGCCCUAAGUUUUACAGGGGCAGGCAUCAGUGUGGGUUUACCAGAGCUGCCUAUGACAAGAAGAGUAUGUCCCUCUAAUUCUGGGACUCAGUAUUAGGAGGCCUGUGGCAUAUUUUAUUUUCUGAAGAUGGUUCAAACAAUACCACCCAUCUCACAGACUCUUUGGAACCUUAUCAUUCUUCCAUCAAGUAAUGGAGUCUCUUUCUCAACUUCCACUGGCUGAGGGCAAAAAAGAAAAAGAAAAAGAAUAAUAAAUAAAUAAAUGUAGUCUGUUUUCCCUAACCUUGAAUCUAGGCAGUACAGUAUGUGACUAUUUUGAUCUACAGAGUAUGGCAAAAGUGAUAAUAUUGUUACUUCCAAGACUAGGGCAUAAAAAUGGUAUGCACUUCCUCCUUAUUCUCUUGGAAUGUUUGCUCUUGUAAUCUCACUCCAGGUUGCAAGAAAGCUCAAGUAGCCUAUGGAGAGGAUGCAAGGCUUCCAGCUGAUGCCCUCAGCCAGGCUCAGUAGCAGCCAGAACUAGCCUACCAACGAACCUGCUGAUCAUGUGCAUAAGCCACCUUGAACGUCGAUCCUCCUGCCUGGUGGAGCCAUCCCAGCUGAUGCCACAUGAAGCAGACACAAGCUGUCCCUACUAAGCUCUGCUCAAGUUGGAUAUUCAUGAGUGAAAUAAAUGACUGUUACUAAGUAAUUAAUUUUUGGGUGGCUGUUAUGUAGCAGUAGAUAAUUGGAACAAAGCUUAUUGACAUAAUACAUCUAUAUCACAUCCUCCAAUCCAUUUUUUUAAGUAAUAAAGUUGAUGUUUGUUUUGAUUUUCAGUUACAGCUUUACAUAUUUUGUCUUAAUUAGUCAAUUUUUUCCAAACUCAAAAUGGGUUUUUGUAAGAGUAGUAGUAGGGUCCUAGAAUAAUGGCAAUUCUCUUUCACUGGAGAAAGUUUUGUAGAGAAGACAAAAGAAUUUUUACAAGUACUCCACUGGUGAAAACUCAUAAACCUUGAAGGUAUUUUUAAAUUCAUCAUGCAUUUAUCAAUUUAUAAAUGAAUUCAUCAUUCAUUGGUCCAUUCAUCCAUCCCUCCAUCCAUUUCUAGAUCCUCUCAUAAGAGGAAAUCUAGGAAUAAGCCUGAUCAGUGAAAGUUUCAUGGGAAAGAGGAAGGAGGAAGAAAUUAUUUUAUUUUUAGAGUUUUGGGAGUUAGUGGUUAUGGACUUGCACUGGAGAAGAUGGGUGAGAAAGUUCAAGGUUUCUAAAAUGGGAAAGUAGGCCUGGAGAAAAUGUUGCAACCAAGAUUAUAAGGCCAAUUACCAGGUCUGAUUACCAGAAAAUAAUUUUUAAGGCAGGAAUAUUAGGCCAUAUCAGUACCUGAAAGAGUGAUCGAGGCUAAUUUGUUCAUUCAUGUAACAACAAUUUAUUAUGUGCUACUAAGUACCAUCACUAUAUUAUAAACUGAGGGUUCAGUAGUGGAUAAGAGAAACUAAUUCCCUGGCCUAAUGAAGAUUUCAUUCAACGGGGAAAACAAGAAACAUAUAUGUAAAUUAGCAAAAGUUAAUAAUAUCAUUCAAAGAGUGCUAAGAGCUCUGAAAAUAGUAAAGCAGGGUGACUGAUAAAACAGGACUAAGCAGGUAACAGUAAGAGGUGAUCAGGGAAAAAACCUCUGAAGAAAACAUAUUUGAUCUGGAAUCCAAAUGGCAAGUAGAAUGAAGAAGGUAAAUAAUUCAUACAAGAGCAUAUCUCUUCCAUAGCAAGUGCAAAGACCCUGGGCAAAUGCCAUAGUUGAGCUAGCACCCACCACUGGCUUCAAGUGAUGGGUGAGUGAUACAGACUCAAGGAAAGGGCCAAAAGGGCAGACAAAACCAGUUCAAUUUGUCACUUAUUCAUCCACCCAUUGAUCCAUCUACUGAUCCAUUUAUCCAUCCAUCCAUCCAUCCAUCCAUCCAUCCAUCCAUCCAUCUAUUCAACAUACAUGUUGGGUGCCCUUUACAUACCAGGACCUGUACUGGGCAUGGGAACUGCAGAGAUGAAAAGAUGAACAAUCUCUGUACUUGAGGGACUCAUCUCACUCUGUGAGAUGAACUGGCAUGUGACUGAAAACUCACUAUAUUGGUAACGAGACUAAAACACAGAGCUUAAUGAUUUAACCUGAUACCACCCAAGUGGUUAGCGGUUAGUGGCAGGGCUUCAGAAUUUUAUUUUCCUUCCCUACAGGGAAAACCAUUAUGUGUGACCUACUUUUUCAAACUCUCUUCCUCAGUGGGGCAACAAUUAGAGUUUAUCUAUUGCUAGUGCUUACCAUUUUAGGCUCCUUUAAUUAGAGUGUUUUAAAUUAGUGUUAUUUUAAUUUUGCUUAUCUCCUGAGACAUUAUAGAGGAUAAAUAGCAAAUGAAAUAAUGUACAUGAAAACACAUUGUAACCCAUAAACCAUCAUACAGAUGUGUGUUAUAUACAGUUUUAUAUUUGAGGAUAUAGCUUUAUGCAUUAGUACUGCUUCCUCCUCAGGGAUGUCUCCAAAAGAAUUCAGAGUAAAACAGACUUGUGGAUUGAUGCUUUAAAGACAUUUUGUAUUUUCUUUAAAAAUAAAAUUGACUCACAGUAGGUGCUUAAUAAAUAUUUGUUCAAAGAAUGCAUAAGAUGCAAUAUUCAGAGACAUAGAUUCAGUGUAGUAGGCAUCAGUGUGGCUACUUGGCUACUUACUGUGCAAAAGAUGUCAAUUUGUGAGUGCAAAUUCAUCUUAAGGAAAUUCUCUGAUUUAAUUUAAGCAUUGGUAGAGAGAUUUACUAUUAUCCUCCUUGGAAAUGAAAAGCAUAUAGCUCAGGGAAGGAAGAUCACAUUUUUAGGAGAACUAUCUGGGGGCAGAUUACCCAAAGUGUUAAUUAUUAUAAUUACUAUUGUUAAGUUGGUUUUAAAGUCCUAUAUGAUGUAAUAUCAUGUUCUCUUUUUGUUUCUCCAGCUGAGCUGAUGAUCUUUUAAAUAAAAAACUACAACCACCUGUCUU
rnacentral:lncRNA from 1 species